GUAGAAACUAAUCUAUGAACGUUUGUUUAUUUCGUAAAAAGUAACUUACCAAGAUUUUGUAUAAAAUUAAAAAUAUAACAAAAAUAAAACAGUGUACCAACAAAAAUCUACCACAGAUCUAAAGUGCAUACAUACAAACUGCAAUCAAACAACAUCAAGAUAUGGAUUUUUUUUUUUCUGUGUCAUAAAAUUGACCAUAUUAAAUAUAUAUUAUCACGUACAAUAUGAUACGGCACACCCUUAUUGUCGUAUUUGUUCAUUCUAAAAAAAUUUAAGGCUUUUAGAAAAGACUGACAUGGCAAAAGUAAUAGGACAUGAUACUACCCCUUGCCCUAUGAUUUUUGUUAUCACACAGGCCAGUCACAGGACAGACACUCGCUGAAAAGAAUCACAUAAAUGUAUUGACAAAGGGACUAGGCUUACAAGAAUAGUGAGGGACAGGCAGGGUCAGUAAACAAAUGGCAGCAAAUAUAAACAACAUACCAGAGAGAAUAGUCAAGAAAACCAAGUUUAAACAUGGGAGAUCCAGCAAGAGAAAGCGGAAGGCAAGAGAGGAGUCAAAAAUACAAACCCACUCAGGUAUUUAUACAGGGGAGAACAGAUGGAAACUAUCAGUAGCUUGGAGAGCGAGUCCGGAUAUGUGGGUGAAUGCUGGGAAAUGGAGUCUUGUUCAGAGUGACAAGUGCAGAGUACGGAGCAGGCAGGCUGACAUUUUAAUAUAAAUUUUUUAAUAUAUUACGAAUGCUUUAUGUUUUGCCUUUCAGAGGAAAGAAGGGAGAGGAGAAGAAGAGAGAAAGAAUACAGUGAGGCCGGUGAGAGAUACCACGGUGACCCCCGAGAGACAGAACGGGACCGCCGACACCGGGAUGAAGAGAACGGAAGACUGAGAGAUAGAGAAGAGAGAGAUAAACGAAAAGAAAAGAAGCAAGAGGAGUCGAAGAAGGGCAGCAGUGAUCACAGACAUGAUAAAUACGACAGCAGGCUUAGAAAAAGCGACCAGGAGGUAUCUGCUAAGAGGCCGGAGUUAUCCUGGAGAGCUAAAGAUGCUGAAUUAAGUGAUCCGGAGAUUCCAAUGGAGAAUGAAGACAGUAAGGACAAUAACAAGGGAGACAAGGACUACGAGAAUGAAGAGUACGAGGAGGAUUUUGAGGUGGGAGGAAGGCUGUGUGUGUGUGUGUGUGUGUGUGUGUGUGUGUUUCAGUGUGUAUUAGUCAUAAUGUUUGGGUGUCUGGC
rnacentral:lncRNA from 1 species